rnacentral:rRNA from 1 species
AGUGAACGCUGGCGGUAGGCCUAACACAUGCAAGUCGAACGGCAGCACAGUAAGAGCUUGCUCUUACGGGUGGCGAGUGGCGGACGGGUGAGGAAUACAUCGGAAUCUACUUUUUCGUGGGGGAUAACGUAGGGAAACUUACGCUAAUACCGCAUACGACCUACGGGUGAAAGCAGGGGAUCUUCGGACCUUGCGUGAUUGAAUGAGCCGAUGUCGGAUUAGCUAGUUGGCGGGGUAAAGGCCCACCAAGGCGACGAUCCGUAGCUGGUCUGAGAGGAUGAUGAGCCACACUGGAACUGGGACACGGUCCAGACUCCGACGGGAGGCAGCGGUGGGGAAUAUUGGACGAUGGGCGCAAGCCUGAUCCAGCCAUACCGCGUGGGUGAAGAAGGCCUUCGGGUUGUAAAGCCCUUUUGUUGUGAAAGAAAAGCAGCAGGUUAAUACCCCGCUGUUCUGACGGUACCCAAAGAAUAAGCACCGGCUAACUUCGUG